UCUAAGACAAAGGUAAGGGUUUAAAAAAAAAAAACAAGAGAGCUUCCAGGAAUAAAGAGGAACUAUUCAGUUAAAAUUACUCUUGCUGAACUUCAUUUGGAAUACUAUGUUCUGUUCUGGUUGCCACAGUUGAUUAUUUCAAGAGUGACUAGUAGGAGACAACUAGAAUGGUUCAGGACCUGGAGUCCAUGGCAUAGAAGCUUCAGCUUCAGAGACACAUUUAGCUCAAAGAGAGAAGAGAAGACCAACUGGAGGUAAUUUAGGGAGAUAUCUACCCCAAGCAUAUGAAGACUUCUUUCAGCAGAAUGGACAGAUGAGAAAAUUUUGCUCUACUGGCCAUGAAGACAACAAAGGUGGCACUGUGGAGCUAAAGUUAAAGCACUAAAGAACUUGGUUAGACAUCAGACACCAGUCAUUUACUGCACUAUGGACCACCACCAGACUUCCUAAGUUUUGUCGUGUCACUGGAUUUUGAUGACACUGGAAGAGAAAGAGUGAGGUUCAAGUCUUUGUGCAACCCUGCCUUAUUAAAUCCAAUUCAACUGAAAGUUAGGAAAUCACCCGUGAUGUCAUUGGUUUUCUACAAAAAUGAAGGAUAUACAACAAGAAUAAAAUAAAAUACAAAUUCUGUAAUCUGAUGCUU
rnacentral:lncRNA from 1 species